rnacentral:rRNA from 1 species
UUCCGGUUGAAUCUCCGGAGGCCAUUGCUAUUGGGAUCCGAUUUAGCCAUGCUAGUCGUACGAGUUCAGACUCGUGGCGAAUAGCUCAGUAACACGUGGCCAAACUACCCUUCGGACCGCAAUACCUUCGGGAAACUGAGGCUAAUAGCGGACACCACACGCAGACUGGAAUGUCGCGUGUGUCAAACGCUCCGGCGCCGAAGRAUGUGGCUGCGGCCGAUUAGGUAGACGGUGGGGUAACGGCCCACCGUGCCAAUAAUCGGUACGGGUCAUGAGAGUGAGAACCCGGAGACGGAAUCUGAGACAAGAUUCCGGGCCCUACGGGGCGCAGCAGGCGCGAAACCUUUACACUGCACGCCAGUGCGAUAAGGGGAUCCCAAGUGCGUAGGCAUAGAGCCUACGCUUUUGUCCACCCUAGGGUSGUGGACGAAUAAGGGCUGGGCAAGACCGGUGCCAGCCGCCGCGGUAAUACCGGCAGCCCAAGUGAUGGCCGAUCUUAUUGGGCCUAAAGCGUCCGUAGCUGGCCGCACAAGUCCAUCGGGAAAUCCACCUGCUCAACAGGUGGGCGUCCGGUGGAAACUGUGUGGCUUGGGACCGGAAGGCGCGACGGGUACGUCCGGGGUAGGAGUGAAAUCCUGUAAUCCUGGACGGACCGCCGAUGGCGAAAGCACGUCGCGAAAACGGAUCCGACAGUGAGGGACGAAAGCUAGGGUCUCGAACCGGAUUAGAUACCCGGGUAGUCCUAGCCGUAAAMACUGSCUGCUAGGUGUUGMCCACUACGAGUGGGUGCUGUGCCGUAGGGAAGCCGCUAAGCAGGCCGCCUGGGAAGUACGUCCGCAAGGAUGAAACUUAAAGGAAUUGGCGGGGAGCACUACAACCGGAGAGCKC